CAGCGCUGGGUGUGGGGGAGGGGUGCCCCUCUUACCAACUCCUCAUGGAAUCAUAUGACGGGAAGAAUUGGGAAAUGCCCCAAGGAAGUACUAAGACUGCUUUUUAUCUCUUCUUACACAUUUUUUAAAAAUUCAUAUUUUAUUAUAUUUUCUAUUUUCUUUCAAGUUUUCAUUUUUCUCAGCACACGUUUGCAGUGCACAAUGACCACGCUCACCCGGGAGGCUGAAGGUGACACGGCACGUCUUCAUUCUUGCUCCAUCCCCUUCCCCCUCUUCUCACCCGUCCCCCCUUCUCUUGGCCCCUUUCCCUUCUGCGAACGAUCUAUCUCUCUGUUUCCUAUUACAAUUCACCUUUUACAAGCCACCUGUGUGUGCCCCUGCCCGUUCACCCUCUCCCCGAGUGUUGUCAACAACCCUGUUCACUGCAGCUCUGAUCAAGAACGUUACACAGCUUAGUUUUACUGAGAAAGCACGGGCAGCAUAUCUCCAAGGCUGCAGCAAGGAUGAGACUAUUCACCCCACUCUCUUCAAGCAACUUGAUGUAAGAGCCUCACCAGUUACAUGAUGCGACCAGCAGGCUUCCGGUUCCCAAACCAUCCCUUCCCAGUGCAGCAAACAAGAGCCAUAAACUGUGGCAAUCAGCCAAGUGUGGUGAAGCAGCUGGAGUUCUUUCGUCAUCAGAAUCUCUUCCAUGGCGCUGGAGUGAGCCUGUUAUUCACUGUCCUGGUUUUCCCUAUAAGGAUAGAUCACAGAAGGCUCAUUUGAAAAUAUCUGGGGACCACCGGCCAGGAAGAUGGAUAUGUUGGCACCCCCCCCUUGGGAUCUCGGCAUUUAUGGUAAAUAUGGCAGUCAGGUCACAAUGUCUUCCCUUUAGACAACAUGAAAGAGCAGCAAGAAUUAAACUAACGAUGCACUGCCCAUCCAGCGCUUGUCCAAAUUAUAUUCCAAAACAAUGACUUCCUCCAGAAAUGUGUAUUGCUACAAAACAUUUGGAAGAAAACAUCUGAGAUAAAAUGAUUUUUUGUUUCUUGCACAACCAUACCCUUGGCACUAUGUCAACAUCUACCAUUUCAAAGAAAACAUUGAUAUGAGGACGUCAAAUAUUAAAACAAC